rnacentral:RNase_P_RNA from 1 species
ACAGCAAGCCGGUCUGUCGCUCCAUUUGCUUGAUGGAGAGGAAAGUCCGGACAACGCAGAGCACCGUGCUUCCUAACGGGAAGAUAUUCGCGAGGGUAUUUCAGUGUAACAGAAAAUAACCGCCUCAGGGUAAGGGUGAAAAGGUAAGGCAAGAGCUUACCGGUAUUGCGGGCAACUGCAGUAGCCGUACACAACACGGGUUGCAAGACCAUGUAAACCUCAAUUCCGUUUUCGGUACAGGGCUGCUCGUCCUGACGCUUGCCGGUUGAGGAGGGUAGGUCGCUAAAGGUUAUGGGUAACCGUCGCUACAGAUAAAUGACAGACAUCGUUUCGGCGAUACAGAAUCCGGCUUACAGGCUUGCUGUUUUU